GGAGAGAUACCCAAGUGGCUGAAGGGGCGGCUUUGCUAAAGCUGUAGGGGGCGCAAGCCCCGCGAGGGUUCAAAUCCCUCUCUCUCCGCCAGCG
rnacentral:tRNA from 1 species